AAACACCGAAGCAAUUUUUGUUGUUUAUUGAAAAAGAAAAUGACUAUUUAGUUUAUUUAGUUUACAUAAUUGUGUGUGUGUUAUCUAUAUAGAUUAUAGCCUAUUACAAAACCUAAAAACUAUAUUGUCUGUAUAGCACAUACGAAGGAUACUAAACAAAAAAUUCAAAGUUAUGAGUUGUAAGAUUUCUCAAUCAACUUCAUGGACACUUUCUUAUAUAUUCUUUACUGUGAUAACUUGAAAUGAUAUGAGUGAAAUAUACACCACGAUCAAGUUACCA
rnacentral:lncRNA from 1 species